UACGAAGGGGGCUAGCGUUGCUCGGAAUCACUGGGCGUAAAGCGCACGUAGGCGGAUUGUUAAGUCAGGGGUGAAAUCCUGGAGCUCAACUCCAGAACUGCCUUUGAUACUGGCGAUCUUGAGUCCGGGAGAGGUGAGUGGAACUGCGAGUGUAGAGGUGAAAUUCGUAGAUAUCGCAAGAACACCAGUGGCGAAGGCGGCUCACUGGCCCGGUACUGACGCUGAGGUGCGAAAGCG
rnacentral:rRNA from 1 species